rnacentral:rRNA from 1 species
AGUGAACGCUGGCGGUAGGCCUAACACAUGCAAGUCGAACGGCAGCACAGUAAGAGCUUGCUCUUACGGGUGGCGAGUGGCGGACGGGUGAGGAAUACAUCGGAAUCUACUUUUUCGUGGGGGAUAACGUAGGGAAACUUACGCUAAUACCGCAUACGACCUACGGGUGAAAGCAGGGGAUCUUCGGACCUUGCGCGAUUGAAUGAGCCGAUGUCGGAUUAGCUAGUUGGCGGGGUAAAGGCCCACCAAGGCGACGAUCCGUAGCUGGUCUGGGAGGAUGAUCAGCCACACUGGAACUGAGACACGGUCCAGACUCCUACGGGAGGCAGCAGUGGGGAAUAUUGGACAAUGGGCGCAAGCCUGAUCCAGCCAUACCGCGUGGGUGAAGAAGGCCUUCGGGUUGUAAAGCCCUUUUGUUGGGAAAGAAAAGCAGCAGGUUAAAACCCCGCUGUUCUGACGGUACCCAAAGAAUAAGCACCGGCUAACUUCGUG